rnacentral:rRNA from 1 species
GAUGAACGCUGGCGGCGCGCCUAAUACAUGCAAGUCGAGCGAACAGACGAGGAGCUUGCUCCUCUGACGUUAGCGGCGGACGGGUGAGUAACACGUGGAUAACCUACCUAUAAGACUGGGAUAACUUCGGGAAACCGGAGCUAAUACCGGAUAAUAUAUUGAACCGCAUGGUUCAAUAGUGAAAGACGGUUUUGCUGUCACUUAUAGAUGGAUCCGCGCCGCAUUAGCUAGUUGGUAAGGUAACGGCUUACCAAGGCAACGAUGCGUAGCCGACCUGAGAGGGUGAUCGGCCACACUGGAACUGAGACACGGUCCAGACUCCUACGGGAGGCAGCAGUAGGGAAUCUUCCGCAAUGGGCGAAAGCCUGACGGAGCAACGCCGCGUGAGUGAUGAAGGUAUUCGGAUCGUAAAACUCUGUUAUUAGGGAAGAACAAAUGUGUAAGUAACUAUGCACGUCUUGACGGUACCUAAUCAGAAAGCCACGGCUAACUACGUG